UCAUUGAUGGAAUAAACGCCCUCACAGGCGCUACCCAUAAACCCUUUGUGAAUACUACCUAAAAUGUUGCCUCGGCAUUGGUUGGCCUCUUUGAGGUCCCUUCUUUAGGGAAGGAGCAGACCGGCCGGUGGCCCUAUAAACUCUUGUUUUUGUAAUAUCAUCUGAGUAAAACAACUAAAAUGAAUCAAAACUUUCAACAACGGAUCUCUUGGUUCUGGCAUCGAUGAAGAACGCAGCGAAAUGCGAUAAGUAAUGUGAAUUGCAGAAUUCAGUGAAUCAUCGAAUCUUUGAACGCACAUUGCGCCCGGUGGUAUUCCACCGGGCAUGCCUGUUCGAGCGUCAUUUCAACCCUCAAAGCUCCGGCUUUGGUGUUGGAGGAAUACCCUGUAAAAAGGGUACCCUCUGAAAUUUAGUGGCGGGCUCGCUAGAAUUUUGAGCGUAGUAAUUUUACCUCGUUUUUAAAGACUAGCGGGACUUCUUGCCGUAAAACCCCCCAACUUUCUGA
rnacentral:rRNA from 1 species